rnacentral:lncRNA from 1 species
ACCAUAGUCCCUCUAUGUUUUCUUAUCUUUCAACUUAGCUAGUUAAUUCUCGCAUAGUGCCUUUGAUAGAACUUAUUCAACCAACCUGUUAUUCACCCUCCUUUAUCAUAAUCUAAAGUUACCAGUUCCAUCAAACUUCUUUACUAUGAACCUUGUUGCAGUUGGUGUUCUUUGUUCUUAUUGCUAGUAGGCUUCAGAACCCCACUGAGAAUUUAUUUUAGUGUUUGUUUAGAGACAGUCAACAAUUCAUCUCCUUGAUCUUGUCUACGAGCCUCUUCCUCAAUUCAUAGACAAGUGACCAGAGAUUCUAAAGAGAAUUCUUUGGUCUUAUGUCUAAGAAGGUUUUUGAAGUCCUUCCAGUCAAGAGGCAAUUUGUAAAUAAUGACAGCCACUUGAAAUUUCUCAUCCAGGAGCAUACACUCAUAUAUGAUUUCAUGAGCAUUCUUUUGCAUCUCAUAAUAUUGAGGCUCUACUGACUUAUCACCAGUCAUUUGAUACUUGCUGUAGUGACUAACAACACACAUUUUAGUUCCAGCUUCUUCAUUAUCAUGUUUCUUGUUAAGUGCAAACCAAAUUAAUUUCACAAACUUAUAUGAACUGUAAUAAUCAUAACGAUCAUUAGACA